ensembl:lncRNA
CUGACCUCAAUGUAUCCUGAAGCUAAACAUUUACAGCAGUCUUUGAGUUUGACUCACAGGAGGAUGCUCUUCUGAUCUGAGAAGCUCCUUUAAUGCAGAACAGAAUUAAACACUAAUCCAGUGUUUAUUCUUUAUCUUUCUAUAUUACUCUAAUAAAUAACAAUAAAGAUUCCUGAUAAGCAACAUUUUUCAGUAGGCUACAGAAAAGUAUUUUAUGUAUGAAUAUGAGCUAUAACAUACAGUACAGUAACACAAAGAUAUUUGUUGUUGCCACAGGGUGGAGCUCUGAAGCCUGAUGUUAAACAGCAGAUCAAGCUAAAUGUGACUGAAUCAAGGUUGAGUUUGACACUUCAAGCUUUCAGACUACUGAGCAGUCACCAUGUUUACUGUUGUCUUCAUUGUAGUUUCACUGCUUAAGGACAGUGCUGAUGCAGAUACAAUAGAAUCUCUCUUACCAGAACAGCAUGUUUCAGUUGGACAAAGUGCUGUUAUCUCUUGCAAAUACAGUGGCAUUGGGCCCAGCUUUUAUUGGUACCGCCAAUAUCCAGGAUCCAGACCUGAGUACCUUAUUUUUAAUGCAGAGACUGGAGUUUCUUCCGAACCCUCUUUACGUCUCAAAGCACAGGCUAAAAAAGCGAUCACAGAAGUGGAACUGGAGAUCUCCUCUACUGAAGUCAAAGACUCUGCUGUAUAUUACUGCGCUCUGAAGCCCACAGUGACAGGAAACCCACCUGCUCUCUACAAAAACUUAAUACAUGAACACAUCUUGCAUUACACAAACAUUGUGACACACCAGCUUCAAAUCAACCACAACAGAUCAAUGAUGCAACUGUUCUUACUUUUCCAAAUGUAAAGAAAUAAUGUUUGGUCUUUUGAUUUUAAGAAAAGGACAAGCCAUGAGUGAAGAUGAAGUCUCAGGCAGAGGGUGGAGCGUGUUCACAAAGGUGAAUGUUUGAAAGGCUUAUUCAUUUAGUCAUCACUUUACAAUCACUCUUCAUCAGAAACCAUCAUGUUUCUGUUUUGUUGGAUACCACUGACAUUACUCAUGGGUAAAUAAUUUCAUUUAUGGUUUUAUUCUUGUUUACAAAAAAAUAUUUUCAUCUGUUUGAUUGUAUAUAAGUUGCUUAGUGUUCAUUUAAUUAAUAGUUUCAUCAAGAGUUGCAUUUUGUCCAAACAGGAAAUUCUUUUGCUGUAACAAUACAGCCAUUGUCUUCUGAAAGGAAUAUUUUCAGAGGCGAAAAUGUGACUCUGUCCUGUAACUACAGUGGUCUGGUAUACAAUCUUCAAUGGUAUCGGCAAUAUAUGGGAUCUAGACCAGAGUUGCUGAUACUUGUUAAUGAAAAUUCAGAGGAAUCUGAGCCUUCUCUUCGUCUGUCAGCAAAAGACUCAAAAGAGAAGAAACAAGUGAAUCUUACAAUCUCUUCUGCUGAAUUGUCAGACUCUGCUGUAUAUUACUGCGCUCUGAGGCCCACAGUGACAAGAAACACAAGAACACUGAACAAAAACCCUGAUUUCAGUCAGAUGAUUUUGUACUUCACUGUAAAAACAUUUGUGUGUGUGUGUGUGUGUGUGUGUGUGUGUGUGUGUGUGUGUGUGUUACUGAUUUUAUUCUAUUGUUUAACACUUCAGUGAAUAAUCCAACCAUAUUGUUUCAGAUAUAGAUAAAACUAUAAUAUCAUGUUUGAUUUCAGUUAGAAUAAAAAUGCAGAAUAUAUUCAUCAUAUUCCAGUAUAAGUUGGUAUUUUUAUAUGACUGUAUAUUAUAUUAUUUUAGUUUGUCUCUUUGGUAAGAAAGCUUCAGUAACUUAGUAAGUAAACUCAGUAAAUGUUGUACACUGGUUAAUUUGAUCACAUUUGUCUAUGAACUAAUGCUCAAAUAGAAACAUUGAGAAGCACUUUUAGAGGGAUGCAUUGAUUUGUGACAGUAAGAACCUUCUAACUUGGCAAAAGUCAUCAUCACAGGGUAAAAACACAAAUACUGUCCAAGUCCUCUGUGAGUGAUGAAGGUCUAAAUGUGUUUGUUUUCAUCCAGAAGAGGGCGUUCAUCUCUUUUCUGUAUCCCUCAUAAACACAAUGAGCUCAAGACUCGUCCUGGAAGGUGAAAUCACGCCACAGGGUGGAGCUCCAGACUUAAAUCACAGUGUUUCAGUUAAAAAAGGGUCACAUUUGAUCAUUUCAUUCCAUCAUGCUGCUCUGUGCACUUGUAAUAUUAUCAGUACUUGCAGGUGAGACUUAUUUAUUUCAUUUAAAUCACCAACUCUUUUGAUUUAAAACUGUUAGAAUUACAUUUAUCUGAUUGCAAUAUUGAAUUUAAUUUUCAGGAGUGUCUCUUGGUGAUCUAAUAACGUCUCAUGAUUCUGAAAAACGAGCUCAAGAUGGUAACAGUGUUGCUCUCUACUGUAACUACACUGGUGCUGUGUAUAAUCUACUGUGGUAUCGUCAGUAUCAAAGAUCCAGACCAGAACUCCUUCUCUCCAUGAGUGAAUCUGGAGAUCCAGUUAAAGCCGAUCCAUCAGCGCACUGGUUAUCAGCUAAAGUUGACAAACACAGAAAGCUCAUGGAACUGGAAAUCAGCCCUGCUAAAGUAUCAGACUCUGCACAGUAUUACUGUGCUCUGCAGCCCACAGUGACUGGAAAACCUUUUCUUCUGCACAAAAUCUUUCUGUAUAUGUAUUUGUAUAUUCACUGAUUCUUAACAAGCACAUGUUUCCUACAGUAUGAAUUAUUUCUGACUGCAUAAUUUAUCAGUAACACAAGCAUCUCUUUAGGAUCAAUAACUCAAAUCAAUUGUGAUGUUUCCUGGAAUAUUUGUAUAAUAUAAAUAUAAGUAUAACAUAAAAGAUCAAUAAAAAAGAGAUGAUGACAAAAAUGAAAUAAGAAAAAAGGCACAAAAAAUUUAAGAAAUGUGAACGUUUUCAGAAAAUGUUCAAUAAAGCUUUACAAUAUUCGUAUGCUUUUCUUUAAUAGACCUUGGCAGAAUCGCAGGU